CAUGGUCAGCUGUCUGAGCUGGAGGGCAUGGACUUGGAGGCGUGUGGGAAAUCUGGCCACCAGAGGUCACCCGAAGACAACAUACAGGGCCCAAGGCUCUUGGAGUAGUUUGAAAUAUAAUGGAAAGAACAAUAGUCUUGGAGUUGGGUCUCCCAACUGAAGUUUGAAUUUGGAUUCUGCCACUUCUUAUGACUUUAGAUAAACUGCUGCUACAAGCCUUGGAAUCACACUUUUCCUGGUCAUCACACACCAUGAAUCAGUUCCUGUCUCACCCGAUAACUUUCCUCAGUACCUGGGCCUUCUCAUCUGGGAACAUCCAUCUCUCCCCAUUGCUUCCUUACUCUGGAACAUCCCUCUGCCGUUCUGGCCUCCUUCUCCCUUUGGUAAAUUACUCCUGGGGCCUACAUUUUGGGGAGAGGCCCAGGCCAGCUAACCUUCAUUCUCCUCUUGACUCUGACUUCCUGGACUUCAACACAAUGCCCAUGUGUAGGUUACCUUCUCCUUCCCUCCCUCUCAGUUCCCACUUGUGUGUAUUAGAU